UACGUAGGGUGCAAGCGUUGUCCGGAAUUAUUGGGCGUAAAGAGCUCGUAGGCGGUUUGUCGCGUCUGCUGUGAAAACGCGAGGCUCAACCUCGCGCCUGCAGUGGGUACGGGCAGACUAGAGUGCGGUAGGGGAGAUUGGAAUUCCUGGUGUAGCGGUGGAAUGCGCAGAUAUCAGGAGGAACACCGGAUGGCGAAGGCAGAUCUCUGGGCCGUAACUGACGCUGAGGAGCGAAAGCGUGGGGAGCGAACAGG
rnacentral:rRNA from 1 species